UAGGGGUAUAGCUCAGUUGGUAGAGCGACGGUCUCCAAAACCGUAGGUCCCGGGUUCGAGUCCUGGUGCCCCUGCCAU
rnacentral:tRNA from 1 species